CCUACGGGGGGCUGCAGUAGGGAAUAUUGCACAAUGGGCGCAAGCCUGAUGCAGCCAUGCCGCGUGUGUGAAGAAGGCCUUCGGGUUGUAAAGCACUUUCAGCGGGGAGGAAGGCGUUAAGGUUAAUAACCUUGGCGAUUGACGUUACCCGCAGAAGAAGCACCGGCUAACUCCGUGCCAGCAGCCGCGGUAAUACGGAGGGUGCAAGCGUUAAUCGGAAUUACUGGGCGUAAAGCGCACGCAGGCGGUCUGUCAAGUCGGAUGUGAAAUCCCCGGGCUCAACCUGGGAACUGCAUUCGAAACUGGCAGGCUAGAGUCUUGUAGAGGGGGGUAGAAUUCCAGGUGUAGCGGUGAAAUGCGUAGAGAUCUGGAGGAAUACCGGUGGCGAAGGCGGCCCCCUGGACAAAGACUGACGCUCAGGUGCGAAAGCGUGGGGAGCAAACAGGAUUAGAUACCCGAGUAGUC
rnacentral:rRNA from 1 species